rnacentral:lncRNA from 10 species
GGGGCCACAAGCAAUUCAUGCCUUAUUCAGGGGAGGAGCCUGGCCUCAUAAGCUCAUGUGCGGUGGCCCUGGUUUUCAAUUGUGAGGGAGAAACCUGCUUGGAGAUCCCCUCUCUUUGCUGAGAGCUUUCCUUUCACUUAAUAAAUUCUUCCCUCCUCACCCUUCAAUAUGACCACGUGCCUAAUUUUUCCUGGUCAUGAGACAAGAACUCUGAUUUAGCUGAACUAGGGAGCAAAAAUUCUGCAUCAUUUUGGCCUAUACGGGGGUUUGUCAGAAGGGAAAGAAAACUGGAUCUGAGGCAGAUGACAAUGGAAGUUAAGAGACAUAGCACAGGUAAGCAUGACUAAUUCCUGCCAAUUAAGCCAAGCCUCCCAUUUCAUGGAUAGUGGUCAUGCUAGUAUCUAUGGCAUGCAUGAGGUCUAGGGAACUUGAAAGCUACUGACAGCAAGGGGAAAGGCAGUGUGUGGGUAAGGGUGGAUAAUCCUACCCUCUAACCCACCUGUUAACAUGGGUGAAAAGGCACAUUGACACCCAUGGGCAGCACCCUGUCAUUGUCUUCAGGACUCCGGGAUACAAGGAAAGAAGGAAGAAAAGGGAUGCCUCUCUUGCCUCUCCCUCACAUACCCUGGGUAUUUGCUGGGAAGAGAAGGGAACUAGGCAUGCCUUGCUCCCCUCUUUCUAGAUGAGUAGCCAUUCAUCUUCAGUCUUUACCCCUUUCAAAAGUACAUCCUGAACCCUUGGGACUCCUUUGAAAAAAAAUGCCUUUUUUAUUACCUUUUUCCACCUCUGUCCUCUCUUCACAGAUGGGUAAUUGUGUCCCUGUGCUACAGCACACUCCCCUUGGAUGCAUCCUCCAAACUGGGAAAAAUUAAUAUCCCCUACCUUAAACUGGUUGCCUUAGAAUUGAACUCAGAGGAAGGGAACCUAGAAGGAUGACAUGCUGGAAAAAGGGCAAAAGUUUCAUCAUUCAGAUGUUGGCCUCUCUCUACCUGUACAAACUGGUAAAAGGAAUGAUAAGGAUCACUGUUUAUAUUCUCUGUAAAGUUUUGAUUAAUGAAAAAGGAUUUGUGAAGUUAGUCUUAAGCUGUAGCCAAUCUGAUGUGAUUUGCAUGUCUUUCUGUGUGAUUCUGUCAGGAAGAGGGGUACCAUAUGAUAGGAUGUAGGCCUAGGACCCCAUAAGCCUGCUGUUCAAGUCAGCCUGGCAAACUGGUCAGUAACAAACUUUGCUGCAGGCCUCCAUCUUGUUUUACAUCCUUGGGAGUGUGACCUGUAACCACGUGGCAGUACUUUCUUUUAGUCUCCGCCAUUUUACAAUGGCAACCUGGGUUCAAUCCUGGCUUGAGAAAUGAGUACUUUUGGGUUGAUAUCUGUGUGUAACUUUUGCCAUUUGCUGAUUCUCUUCCUUUCCAUGAACAACUUCCAGCUUCCUUUCUUAAAUCUUUCUUUCUCUGAAUUACCUUUAAAGGUCCUAGAUUUUGUAAAAACUGCUUACUACCCCUUCGAAAAUACUUCAUACAUUUGUGGUUAAGUCAUAACCUUAAUUGAAGCUUGUUGGUUUCACCUGUGAGUUACUUUUGGUAAAGUUCAAAUGCCAAAAAUAUUGGCAGCUUGGCACGGCUAAAGUCAGCUUACAAGGAAUUUAAAAGGACUUUCUUUUUAUUUUUUUUCUUUUUCUUUUUCUUUUUUUUUUUUUUUUGAGACAGA